GAGUGGCGAACUGGGGAGUAACACGUGGGUAACCUGCCCUUGAAGUAGGGGAUAACACUUGGAAACAGGUGCUAAUACCGUAUAACAACCAAAACCACCUGGUUUUGGUUUAAAAGAUGGCUUCGGCUAUCACUUUAGGAUGGACCCGCGGCGUAUUAGCUUGUUGGUAAGGUAACGGCCUACCAAGGCAAUGAUACGUAGCCGACCUGAGAGGGUAAUCGGCCACAUUGGGACUGAGACACGGCCCAAACUCCUACGGGAGGCAGCAGUAGGGAAUCUUCCACAAUGGACGAAAGUCUGAUGGAGCAACGCCGCGUGAGUGAUGAAGGGUUUCGGCUCGUAAAACUCUGUUGUUGGAGAAGAACAGGUGUGAGGGUAACUGUUCACAUCUUGACGGUAUCCAACCAGAAAGCCACGGCUAACUACGUGCCAGCAGCCGCGGUAAUACGUAGGUGGCAAGCGUUGUCCGGAUUUAUUGGGCGUAAAGCGAGCGCAGGCGGUUUCUUAGGUCUGAUGUGAAAGCCUUCGGCUUAACCGGAGAAGUGCAUCGGAAACCAGGAGACUUGAGUGCAGAAGAGGACAGUGGAACUCCAUGUGUAGCGGUGAAAUGCGUAGAUAUAUGGAAGAACACCAGUGGCGAAGGCGGCUGUCUGGUCUGUAACUGACGCUGAGGCUCGAAAGCAUGGGUAGCGAACAGGAUUAGAUACCCUGGUAUUCCAUGCCGUAAACGAUGAGUGCUAAGUGUUGGAGGGUUU
rnacentral:rRNA from 1 species